AGCCGAUUGUUACAUUUUCAGGAAUUUUGCAAACUGGCUGACAGACAUCAAGUUGGCAGCUUGAAAUUGGCCAUCCUGGGAGGCUUU